GGGGCAUUAGCUCAGUUAGGGAGAGCGCUACACUGGCAGUGUAGAGGUCAGCGGUUCGAGCCCGCUAUGCUCCA
rnacentral:tRNA from 1 species